UACGUAGGGGGCAAGCGUUGUCCGGAUUUAUUGGGCGUAAAGAGCUCGUAGGCGGUUCCGUAAGUCGUGAAGUCAAAUCUCUGGGCUCAACCCAGAAUCGCUUCCGAUACUGCGGUGACUGGAGUCCGGUAGGGGAAUGUGGAAUUCCUGGUGUAGCGGUGAAAUGCGCAGAUAUCAGGAGGAACACCAACAGCGAAGGCAGCACUCUGGGCCGGUACUGACGCUGAGGAGCGAAAGCAUGGGGAGCGAACAGG
rnacentral:rRNA from 1 species